rnacentral:rRNA from 1 species
CCUACGGAGGGCAGCAGUGAGGAAUAUUGGUCAAUGGGCACGAGCCUGAACCAGCCAAGUAGCGUGAAGGAUGACUGCCCUACGGGUUGUAAACUUCUUUUAUAAAGGAAUAAAGUGAGGCCCGUGUGCCUUUUUGUAUGUACUUUAUGAAUAAGGAUCGGCUAACUCCGUGCCAGCAGCCGCGGUAAUACGGAGGAUCCGAGCGUUAUCCGGCUUGAUUGGGUUUACAGGGAGCGUAGAUGGGUUGUUAAGUCAGUUGUGAACGUUUGCGGCUCAACCGUAAAAUUGCAAUUGAUACUGGCAGUCUUGAGUACAGUUGAGGUAGGCGGAAUUCGUGGUGUAGCGGUGAAAUGCUUAGAUAUCACGAAGAACUCCGAUUGCGAAGGCAGCUUACUAAACUGCCACUGACAUUGAUGCUCGAAAGUGUGGGUAUCAAACAGGAUUAGAUACCCCAGUAGUC